rnacentral:rRNA from 1 species
GAUCAUGGCUCAGGAUGAACGCUAGCUACAGGCUUAACACAUGCAAGUCGAGGGGCAGCAUGAACUUAGCUUGCUAAGUUUGAUGGCGACCGGCGCACGGGUGAGUAACACGUAUCCAACCUGCCGAUGACUCGGGGAUAGCCUUUCGAAAGAAAGAUUAAUACCCGAUGGCAUAGUUCUUCCGCAUGGUAGAACUAUUAAAGAACUUCGGUCAUCGAUGGGGAUGCGUUCCAUUAGGUUGUUGGCGGGGUAACGGCCCACCAAGCCUUCGAUGGAUAGGGGUUCUGAGAGGAAGGUCCCCCACAUUGGAACUGAGACACGGUCCAAACUCCUACGGGAGGCAGCAGUGAGGAAUAUUGGUCAAUGGACGAGAGUCUGAACCAGCCAAGUAGCGUGAAGGAUGACUGCCCUAUGGGUUGUAAACUUCUUUUAUACGGGAAUAAAGUGAGGCACGUGUGCCUUUUUGUAUGUACCGUAUGAAUAAGGAUCGGCUAACUCCGUG